rnacentral:rRNA from 1 species
GACGAACGCUGGCGGCGUGCUUAACACAUGCAAGUCGAACGGAAAGGCGAUGGUUUUGUGGGGGGCUCGAGUGGCGAACGGGUGAGUAACAAGUGAGUAACCUGCCCUUGACUUUGGGAUAACUACAGGAAACUGGGGCUAAUAACGGAUAGGAGCUCCUGCUGAAUGGUGGGGGUUGGAAAGUUUCGGCGGUUGGGGAUGGACUCGCGGCUUAUCAGCUUGUUGGUGGGGUAGUGGCUUACCAAGGCUUUGACGGGUAGCCGGCCUGAGAGGGUGACCGGCCACAUUGGGACUGACAUACGGCCCAGACUCCUACGGGAGGCAGCAGUGGGGAAUAUUGCACAAUGGGCGGAAGCCUGAUGCAGCAACGCCGCGUGCGGGAUGACGGCCUUCGUGUUGUAAACCGCUUUCGCCUGUGACGAUGCGUGAGUGACGGUAAUGGGUAAAGAAGCACCGGCUAACUCCGUG